UCCAGAACUCUGUUAGCAGAACUCUGUUUUAAACUAUGCCUUUUUGGAAAAAAAGAAAAACACAUAUAUUUGAUUAAACAUUCAAAACUCAGUAUAUUUCAGAAAAUAGGCAAAGAACUCGUUUUACAGGCAAAUCGAAUUGAACAUGUUUUUUUACCAAUAAAUUUAUUUUUUAAAAAAAAAAAAAAAACACUUUUGGAGGCACUUUAGGCAAUAGAGAUUGGUGAUCGCCACCCAUUGGUAAAAUUGAGUAAAAGGUAAAAAAUAAAAUAAAAUAAAAUAGUAGAGUCAGACUGAUUUAUAUGUGGAUUAUUUGGAAAGGAAAGAUUAAGAGGGGCAAAGAACACCAUUCAACCAUCUAUAUGCAUUAUUGGUCAUACAUAGAGAAAUUCUAAUUAUUUUAAUUGAAGUUACGUAUUUUAACCUUAGUUAUAUAUGAUAUAUUGGCUCAUAUGCAUACAUAUAUCAUUCUCCAAACUGUUGAAUACUCCUAUUCUAAGUGGUUCAAGAAAACAAAAGCAUAGAAAGUAAUCCUAAACUAAGUUCUUCUUCUGCUUAGAAAUAAUGAAGGAAAGGUUACCCGCCAGUGUUAAUUAGUACAAAUGUCUGUUUAGUGGUCUGCCUUCCCAUGCAUAAAUCUUGCAGGGUCAAAUUGGGAAAUUGAGAUGGUUAAGUGUCUCUAACAAUAAUUGUCAGCAGCACAUAUGCACGAAUGCACAUAUGUACAUAAAUACAUACCAAGGUUACCUGGAUUGUGGAUUUCGUUU